AUAUCUCUCUGUACGGGAAGGAUGAGAAGCUUCGACUAAGGUUCGAUUCGAGCGAAAGCGAGAAAGCGUUGCCGCAGGCAACGACCCGAAGGGCGAAGCGCGCAGCGCUGAGUAAUCCUUCCCCCGUCAUCC
rnacentral:sRNA from 11 species